rnacentral:sRNA from 1 species
GUCCAUAAGGGGUGCUUGAGUUCCUUUCCCAAAGCGCUACAUUCGACUUACGGAAUUCGCCUUCGAUAGGCUGACCACGGAGGUACUGGCAGCCCAUGGUCGCGGCGGAUUGAGGAAGGUCGGCACGAUAUCGUUCCGACCUUUUUCCUU